CACCGCUCCACCAGUUCUGGCUCUGAAACCACCACUUGGGCCUUCUCCUCCUCAGCCCAUCACUUCUCCCAUCACUCCUCCACCACUCCAUCCGACGACCCCCGCUGGGAUACCAUCCGCCGCUUCCAUUGCCUCGCCCUCUCCGAUCUUCACUUCCUCCACCGUCUCGGCUCCGGAGAUAUCGGAUUCGUGUACUUAGCCAAAAUCAAGUCACCCUCGCCGUCUCCAUCCUCGGAGGAGCAGCCUAAUUCCUCCUCCUCGGCGGCUCUCUUCGCGACUAAGGUUAUGGACAAGAAGGAACUCGCCAACUGUAAUAAAGAAGGUAGAGCAAGGACAGAAAAAGAAAUCCUUGAAAUGCUCGAACAUCCAUUUUUACCCACGCUUUACGCUUCCAUUGACUCUCCCAAGUGGUCGUGUCUAUUGACGGAGUUUUGCCCCGGCGGCGACCUUCACGUCCUCCACCAAGCUCAGCCGUGUAAACGCUUCCCGGAAUCCUUCAGGCACGCAUUUUACCACUAUCUCCUCUCCUCCACCACCGUUUUAGCCUCUUGUGGUAACGAUUUUUUUCAUAAUCAUAUCUGUAGAUUUUAUGAUGCCAUUAAUCAUAUGAUCUAAAUCAUUUUAUUAAAAAUUAUUAAUCAAAUAUUGAAAAGAUUCAAAAUUCAUCUUUUGGCUAAACUUUUAGCAUGCUUGAGCCCCAUUUUAAUCCAAGGCUAUGUUUUAGGAUGGUAGACUUCUAGUUAAAAAAUAUGAAAAAAAUUUUAAAUUUUGUGAGAAAUAUCAUUUUAUUGAAAAUUGUGAGAUUAAAAAGAAAAAUGAAAAAAAAGUACUUUAUUCGGAAAAGAAAUUGGAAUUUGGAUAUGACGUUGAAAUUGAAAGUGACGAGGGAGGUGAGGCAUAUUGAUUGGUCCACUACCUGACAUAGAGCUGAUAGUGGGGCCCAAGCGAUUAGCGUUGUGACUCGUGUACACUAGAACUGAAAUCUACUGUAAAUCGAGAUUCACUGUAGCAGGAGAACUGCUACAAUUACAGCAUUUUUGACAACUUUGUUUACGAUUUUUUCACAUACAAUGGNUG
rnacentral:lncRNA from 1 species